rnacentral:rRNA from 1 species
UACGUAGGGGGCUAGCGUUGUCCGGAAUCAUUGGGCGUAAAGAGCGUGUAGGCGGCCCGGUAAGUCCGCUGUGAAAGUCGGGGGCUCAACCCUCGGAUGCCGGUGGAUACUGUCGGGCUCGAGUACGGAAGAGGCGAGUGGAAUUCCUGGUGUAGCGGUGAAAUGCGCAGAUAUCAGGAGGAACACCUAUUGCGAAGGCAGCUCGCUGGGACGUUACUGACGCUGAGACGCGAAAACGUGGGGAGCAAACAGG